UACGAAGGGGGCUAGCGUUGCUCGGAAUCACUGGGCGUAAAGGGUGCGUAGGCGGGUCUUUAAGUCCGGGGUGAAAUCCUGGAGCUCAACUCCAGAACUGCCUUUGAUACUGAAGAUCUUGAGUUCGGGAGAGGUGAGUGGAACUGCGAGUGUAGAGGUGAAAUUCGUAGAUAUUCGCAAGAACACCAGUGGCGAAGGCGGCUCACUGGCCCGAUACUGACGCUGAGGCACGAAAGCGUGGAGAGCAAACAGG
rnacentral:rRNA from 1 species